GCCAAGAAGUAUGUUUCCCCCACCUCCUAUCAAAGACUGUGUCCCUAAUUUUAAAAGUCUAACGGUGCUAGUCUCUUUCUGGAUUCAUCUAUGCUAUGCCUGGACUCUCUCUGCCACAGAAACUCAGAGAAAAAGAAUUAACGAUCAUGCGAAAUUGGAUGCCUGUCAGUUUUUCCUAAGUUUCUCAAUUGUAACUGCUAUUUGGUCAAGGGCCUCCCCCAACCAUCAUUCUCAGUAA
rnacentral:lncRNA from 1 species